UACAGAGGUGGCAAGCGUUGUUCGGAAUUAUUGGGCGUAAAGGGCGCGUAGGUGGUCUAGCAAGUCCUGUGUGAAAUCCCUCAGCUCAACUGAGGAACUGCACAGGAGACUGCCUGACUUGAGUUCGGGAGAGGGACGCGGAAUUCCGGGUGUAGCGGUGAAAUGCGUAGAUAUCCGGAGGAACACCAGAGGCGAAGGCGGCGUCCUGGACCGAUACUGACACUGAGGCGCGAAAGCUAGGGGAGCAAACGGG
rnacentral:rRNA from 2 species